rnacentral:misc_RNA from 1 species
UUUUUUUUUUUUUUUUAAUUUGAAUUUAAAUGUGUGAUUGUAUCAUUAUUUUACUUGUUCUAUUUCGUCUAUCACCUCUAAAAAAUUUCCUCAAAUCAACAUUAGUAGGACUACUAUUUAGUCAUCAGGCCAUUGAUAUUGAUUUGAUCCUUUAUGCUGAUUAGACUACAUUGAACCAAUUAUAAGAUUAUAUGAAGUAACAAGUUAGCUGUUGCAAGUAGGCUAAAUCCACCCUGAUGCCUUCUUGUAAUUUGUUGUUGCUGCUGUUUUUUUUUUUUUUUUUUUUU